UUAGGGCUAGCGUCGAUGUUAAGUCUCUUGGAGGUAGAGCACUGUUUGGGUGAGGGGUCCAUCCCGGAUUACCAAUCUCAGAUAAACUCCGAAUGCCAACGAGAUAUAAUCGGCAGUCAGACUGCGAGUGCUAAGAUCCGUAGUCGAAAGGGAAACAGCCCAGACCACCAGCUAAGGUCCCAAAAUAUAUGUUAAGUGGAAAAGGAUGUGGGGUUGCACAGACAACUAGGAUGUUAGCUUAGAAGCAGCUAUUCAUUCAAAGAGUGCGUAAUAGCUCACUAGUCGAGUGACCCUGCGCCGAAAAUGUACCGGGGCUAAAACAUAUUACCGAAGCUGUGGAUACCUUUAUAGGUAUGGUAGGAGAGCGUUCUAUGUGCGAAGAAGGUGUACCGUGAGGAGUGCUGGAGCGCAUAGAAGUGAGAAUGCCGGUAUGAGUAGCGAAAGACAGGUGAGAAUCCUGUCCACCGUAAGACUAAGGUUUCCAGGGGAAGGCUCGUCCGCCCUGGGUUAGUCGGGACCUAAGGAGAGACCGAAAGGUGUAUCCGAUGGACAACAGGUUGAUAUUCCUGUACUAGAGUAUAUAGUGAUGGAGGGACGCAGUAGGCUAACUAAACCAGACGAUUGGAAGUGUCUGGCCAAGCAGUGAGGUGUGAUAUGAGUCAAAUGCUUAUAUCUUUAACAUUGAGCUGUGAUGGGGAGCGAAGUUUAGUAGCGAAGUUAGUGAUGUCACACUGCCGAGAAAAGCUUCUAGCGUUAAUUAUACUCUACCCGUACCGCAAACCGACACAGGUAGUCGAGGCGAGUAGCCUCAGGUGAGCGAGAGAACUCUCGUUAAGGAACUCGGCAAAAUGGCCCCGUAACUUCGGGAGAAGGGGCGCUGACUUAUGGUCAGCCGCAGUGAAUAGGCCCAAGCAACUGUUUAUCAAAAACACAGCUCUCUGCUAAAUCGUAAGAUGAUGUAUAGGGGGUGACGCCUGCCCGGUGCUGGAAGGUUAAGAGGAGUGCUUAGCGUAAGCGAAGGUAUGAAUUGAAGCCCCAGUAAACGGCGGCCGUAACUAUAACGGUCCUAAGGUAGCGAAAUUCCUUGUCGGGUAAGUUCCGACCCGCACGAAAGGCGUAAUGAUUUGGGCACUGUCUCAACGAGAGACUCGGUGAAAUUUUAGUACCUGUGAAGAUGCAGGUUACCCGCGACAGGACGGAAAGACCCCAUGGAGCUUUACUGUAGCUUGAUAUUGAGCACUGGUGGCACAUGUACAGGAUAGGUAGGAGACGAAGAAACCAGGACGCCAGUCUUGGUGGAGUCGCUGUUGGGAUACUACCCUUGUGUCACUGGGGUUCUAACCCGUGGCCCUUAUCGGGUCAGGGAACAGUGUCAGGUGGGCAGUUUGACUGGGGCGGUCGCCUCCCAAAGAGUAACGGAGGCGCCCAAAGGUUCCCUCAGAAUGGUUGGAAAUCAUUCGAAGAGUGUAAAGGCAGAAGGGAGCUUGACUGCGAGACCUACAAGUCGAGCAGGGACGAAAGUCGGGCUUAGUGAUCCGGCGGUGCUGAAUGGAAAGGCCGUCGCUCAACGGAUAAAAGCUACCCUGGGGAUAACAGGCUGAUCUCCCCCAA
rnacentral:rRNA from 1 species